AUAAGCCACACCCUCACUACAUAAACCAAUGUGCAAAAUAAGGUAAAUCUACAAAUAGUGAAAAAAAGGUACUAAGAAGAUGAGUUGUAGAAUCCCUGGAAGUGAGUCUAUAGGUUGUGGAAUCAGUUCAGGGUUGAGGUGAGUGAAGUUAUCCACGCCAGCUCAGGAGUUUGAUGGUUGAAGGGUAAUAACUGUUCCUGAACCUGGAAGUGUAGGAUCUCCAGCAACUCUACCUCCUGCACAAAGCAAGCCUCAAUUUCGGGAAAGAACAGGAAGUACACCAUUGAAAAUAGUGAUUGACAGGCAAAGCAAGCUGCAGGAGAUGGCUAUAAUGAGGCAGUAUCAUAUAUUGAUUGACAUCUCCUUUGAAGAGCUAUAUCUACUCUCCUAGUUUCUGCCUUGAUCCCUGCAAUCUUCUCCAUAUCUUGGCUAAAUAUAUUAUGUUUAUCUUAUAAUGAGGUACCUUAUAAUGCUUCCCUAAGUGCAAUUAGCUAACUAGCCCAAUAAAGUAAGGAAAUCAGCCCACAUCUUUGUGAUAGCCAAAGAAAGUAAAAAAGAAGUCUUUGUAACUCCAGUUGCAGUGAGGUCCUUUUAUUGUUUAGUUAAUGAGUAAAUUCUUCACUGAAGCAUUUCACCCGCUGCUGCCUUUAAGGAGUUUGUAUGUUAUCCCCACGACCACGUGGGUUUCCUCCAGGUGCUCCGUUUCCUCCCAAUGUCCAAAGACCUAGCAGUUGGUAGGUUAAUUGGGCACUGUUUAUUGUUCUAUGAUUGGACUAGGUUGCUGGGAGGUAUGUCUUGGAGGGCUGGAUCUCGAUAUUGAGAUCUCCAUGUGUAUCUCCAUAAAAAUUAAAAAAGAAAGCUAUUUAUCUGAAAUAAACUUCCCAAAAAUAAUUUCAUGCUGCUUAAUACUUAUAACAGUUGUUUCAAAGUAGUAAACAUGCUGGUAGAUCAUAGAGUCAGAGAACAUUACAACAUGAAAAUAGGCCCUUCAGCCCAUCUAGUCCAGGCCAAAUUAUUACUCGGCCUAGUCCUGUUGACUUACACUUGGCUCGUAGCCCUCUAAACCCUGUCCUAUCUGUGUACUUAUCUAAACUUUUAAAUGUUGCAAUCAAACCCAUUUCCACUGAAAGCUCGUCCAACACUCACACCACCCUCUGAGUGAAGAAGUUUCCCUUAAAUAUUUCAUCUUUCGCCCUUAACCUACGACCUCUAGUUCUAGUCACUUACUACCUUAGUGGGAAAACACCCUAUCUAUACCCCUCAUUGUUCUGCAAACCCCGUAAAACCAUUCUCAUGUGUUCUAGGGAAUGAAGUCCCAACAUUCAACCUUUCUUUAUAACUCAGGCCAUCAACUCCCAGCAACAUCCUUAUAAAUUUUCUCUGUACUCUUUCAAUCUUGCUGAUAACUUUCCUGUCGGAAGAUAAGCAGAACAGCACACAAUACUCCAAAUUUGUCCCAAGCACCUCAGUGCUCUACCGCUCACUGUGUAUGUCUGUUUAGAUCUUCCGAAGUGCAACACCUCACACUUGCAUGUAUUAAAUUCCAUCUGGUAUUUUUCAGUACUUUUUUUCCAGCUGGUCCAGAUUCCUCUGCAAGGUUUGACAGUCAUCCUUGCUGUCCACUAUGCUUCCAGUCUUGGUGUCAUCCAAAAAAUCUUGAGCGACACAGACUGGGAAACGCAGCAAGUCAGGCAGCAUCUAUGAGGGAAUAAGCAGUCAGCAUAUUGGGCUGAAACCCUUCAUUAGGACUCCUGAUCGUUUACUCCCCUCCAUAGAUGCUGCCUGACUUGCUGAGUUUAUUUAUUUAACGAUACAGCGUGGAAUAGGCCCUUCUGGCCCUUCGAGUUCACUGCCCCGUAACCCCGGACAAUUCUGAUUUAACCCUAACCUCAUUAUGGGGCAAUUUACAGUGACCAGUUAACCUAUCCGGAAUGUCUUUGGACUGAGGGAGGAAACAGGAGUACUUGGGGAAAAGCCAUGCAUUUCAGGGGGAAGAUGUGCAGAGACUCCUGACGGAUACUGCUGCUACUGAACUCUGAACUCGGACACUCCAAGCUGUAAUAGCAUCGUGCUAAACACCACACUACCAUGGCACACAGAUAUUCUGUGCGCGUUGCAAAAGGCACAUUGUGUUCUGUUUAGACCUUGUUGGUCUUCCAGUGUCAGGAGGAACUUACAUGCAAGUACAACAGCAAAGUGCAAGAACACAUCCCGAGGGGUGCAAUGAUGCCUGGUGCAUUAACUGUAAAGGCUCAGCGCGAAGAAAUGCAUUUUGGGGUCCUACCAUCUCUGCACAUCAUGGUUGGAGAUCUUUCUUGGUUAGAAAAUAUGGAGGAUCUUCUGGAGGCUCAUGGUGUGGAAUGACGACAGCUUGGCAAUGUCAUUCUCUGUCUUGCGCCAGCAUUUUGACCUGUAUAAGAGUGUAGAUGGAACACAGCUUUGGUACAGCUUCACCUUGGUGUGGACGCUGUACUUGUUUGAUCCCCAUUUGUUGCUGAUUGAUCUGAAGAUGCUUCUAGCUUUGAUCUGAAACCCAUUAAUGGCAUCAAUGUAUUGGAGGAAUGUAUUGA